rnacentral:rRNA from 1 species
UGGUCUGCAACUCGACCACACGAAGCUGGAAUCGCUAGUAAUCGCGAAUCAGCAUGUCGCGGUGAAUACGUUCCCGGGUCUUGUACACACCGCCCGUCACACCAUGGGAGUCAGCAACGCCCGAAGUCAGUGACCUAACCGAGAGGAAGGAGCUGCCGAAGGCGGGGCAGGUAACUGGGGUGAAGUCGUAACAAGGUAGC